rnacentral:misc_RNA from 1 species
AAUGCCCCUGGCUUUAUAUGCUGCAAACAUUCUGCAUUGAUGAUCUGAACUGUUUCAUUUGUUAAAGCACAAUGAAGUGAGAUAAGGUCACUUGCAGCUAGUAAAUCAUUAAGAGUAUCCAUUCUUCGGGCUGCAGGCGGAAAUCUUAUGGAAGAUCUACUUACUUUUCCUUUUCCCUCUUGAACAUCAAAAUAUAGCACAUUCAUCCUGAAAGCCAAGCUCCUGGUAGCUAAACACCUCGCUGAUGCAGAUCUACCAACGAU